CCUUCAUCUUCACUUGCACAUCAGGGUGUGUCAAGUCAGCCACUCUCUGACAAUGACACUGACACUGAGAACCAUCCAGCAGUACCUGCAGGCCAUGCAGUGACACGUGGGGAUGGUGAUGCAGCAGCCCUUGUGGCCCCACCUGGACCUCAUGAUAUUUCACAGUCAAGAGCAGCAGGUCCCUCUCAGCCUCGUUUAAAGGUUUUUC